rnacentral:lncRNA from 1 species
AAAGAUUUAUCAAGUUGUAAGUUAUCUCUAUUCACUAUCUUUUUAAUUAUCUAAUGAUGUUUAUUGGUUUAUGUUUUUGAUCUUAUCCUUAUAUGCAUUGAUUUUUAGGUUGUAGAGUCAUGUUUGAAUGAACUGAUUUUGCAAAUGAUUCGAAUAGUUUCUUAAACAUUUCGAAUGAAAAAAUAUUGAUAUGCAUCCUCCGAUUCAGAUAUACUUAUACUGUUUGAUUUAAUUUUUGUCAAAUAAAUUGAUUUGUAUUAAAGUGAAGUUAGAUCUUUCAAAUUUAGUUAGAUCCAAGAAAGAUUCUUUAAUCUAAAAGAAUAUUUAAUUUAUUAUUGAAUAAUAGAGAUAAGAUCUAGUCUUUUUCCGAUUUACAAAGAGGUCUUGGGUAAAAUAAUUUUCUCAAUUUAAGGUAUGUCUAUUUGGUAAAACAUUUUUUCAAAUAAUCUAUAUCUUAAGAAAUAUUAGGAGGUAAUAUCACACUAUGUAUAACCAAUAGACUAAAUAAAUUUCUCAAUAUAGAACUAUAUUUUUUGAACUUAUAAAUGAAUAUGGAAAUAUGUUCUAAACUUAGAAAUCAUAGAAAUUACUUUAAUGUUUCUUAAAUUAAAAUCCUAGGAAUCCUUUUUUAACUCAUUCCUUGUGAAAAAGUUUUGCAGAAUUAUCAUUUAGAUUUUCUUAAUUCAAUUUUCAAAAGAUUACCUCUUCACUUCUUAAGUAGUGCAACAGUCUUUCCAAUCAUGUGUAACCAUAAAUAAGAUAACACAAAAAAUUAGAUAACCAAAUGAUAUGCAUGUGUUAAUUUAUUCAUAAAGAGGCUGUUAAAUUUUAUGAUAAUGUAAAUACUUUAAAAUAUAUAUAUAUAUAUAUAUAUUAAGAAAGCUUCUGAUACGAACAAACUAUCAACAAUGUUGAAAUUAUUGUUAUAGUCCCUUCAAUUGCCAAUUAUAAAGCUCUGAUUCAUUUUAUGAAAGGACUUUUUAGAAGCCUCCUGAUUAUGAAUAAAUUUGUAAAUAUAUGGCACUUGGGCCUAACUCAACCCCAAAGGCUAGCUCAUGAGGGGAAGAUUGCCCAAGUCCAUAUAAAGAGACCACCUGUCCAUUUCCUAACCAAUGUGGGACUUUUACCCACUCUAACACCCCCUUCACGCCCAGACCCGACUUGAGCAUGGACCGGGAGCUCAAACUGGAUGGACCUGACUCUGAUACCAUGUAAAGAUAUGACACCUGAGCUUAACUCAACCCUAACAACUAGCUCACAAGGAAAGGAUUGUCCAAGUCCAUAUAAGGAGACCAUUAGUCCAUUCCCCAACCUCCCCUUAUAUGGACUUGGACAAUCUUCCUCUUGUGAGCUAGCUUUUGGGGUUGAGUUAGACUCAGGUGUCAUAUCUUUACAUGGUAUCAGAGCCAGGUCCAUCCAGGUUUGGGCGUCCACGCUCCAGUCGGGCCUGGGAGUGAAGGGGGGUGUUAGAGUGGGUAAAAGUCCCACAUUAGUUGGGGAAUUGACUGAUGGUCUCCUUAUAUGGACUUGGGCAAUCCUCCCCUCAUGAGCUAGCUUUUGGGGUUGAGUUAGCUCUACCUUAAAUAAUAUGUAUGUCAUACUUCAAUCACACAGUAUUACCUACUCAUUUGUGUCUUUGAAAUACUUAUUCAUGACAAUAUUCAAGGUGUGGGGUAAAUACAUUAUUUUUUUAUUCAAAGCCCAUAAUUCAAGUUUUUUCUUAUUAUUUUGAUCCAUAAUAAAUUUUUACUAAUCUUAAUCGUAAUACUAAAUAAUGUUAAUCCAUCAUAUAUGUACCAUACAAAUACACCUUGGAGUGCAUUAGUUGCAAAGGGUCGAGCAUAUGUAUGUGUUUGCAUUAGACACGUUCAAGUCAAUAAGGUCAAUGCUCUCUCUCUCUCUCUCUCACACACACACACACUCACUCACUCACUUUAGAAUCUCAAUCACGCAGGCUUAGAAAAUCUAGAAUAAUGUUAUCGCGCUUAAGAAUUUAUUCAUUUAAAUACCGCAAUUGCAUUGAAAGACAAUUAAGAAAAAUUAUGAUCAAUGAAUAUUUUUAAAUUAACUUUUGCUACAUUUGGAAAAGGCUAAUUGAGAUCGUGGGGAGUUGACCUUAUUAACUUAGGGCUUACACAUUCAUGUAAGAAUUCUUCAACUCUCUAUGAUGAUUAUACUUGAAUUUAAACCACAGAAUCAUGAGAUUUGAAUGCCUAAAUUGAUAGGAGUAAUUUUUAGUUGUUAAAAUAUAAAACUAGGGAUUUGACCUAGAAAAUGAAAUAAUAAGUUAAAUUUGAUUAUAGAAAUGGAAUCGUGAGUCAAAAAUUUAAAAUUGCUCUCCACUACCCAGCAGACGAAACCCUAAUUUUGUCUACUUUUUUCAUGGCCUUCGGCCAGUUGAGGUUGGCCAGUCGCAAAGGAUAUUGGAGGAGAAGAAAAUGACAUACACAAACACUCUCGCAGCACCAAAACCACAACAUUAUAACAUCCAAAUUAAGCCUUUAACAAAUUUGCAUGGGGAACCAAAAAUAGUAUGGGAAGAGGAAGAGGUACAACAAAUGAUCAUUAAUUAGGACCUACAAUACGCAGUGAUUGGAAAUUGUUUUUAUGGAUGGCCUGACAUUCUAGAUCUAUGGAAAUUGCUACCAAAACAAUGUGAUCUAAAAGGGGAAGUGAACAUAGGGCUUUUAAGUAGUCGAUACGUCUUAAUAAGGGCAUCACUGCAAGAGGAUUACGUGAAAUUGUUAUCAAAACCUCAAUUUUACAUCACUCAUAAUCAUUGGUCUUAUCCAAUGAGAACCCUGAAGUGCGACACUUUAUUUGAUCCGGAGGAGGAAACGACUGUUGACACCCAAUUUUGGACCUCCACAAUAUAUAUUAAUCACGAGCUUUUUAAAAUUCCAAACAAUUUGAAAUAAUUGACUUCAUAAAGUUUAAGAUAUUCUUCAAGUUAUUUUAAAUAGUUUUGUCACUUUUUAUAAUUUUUAAAUAAUAUAUAUGUUUUAAAUAAUUAUGUACAUAAUUAGUAUAUUUUAUGAAUAUUCGAAAAUUGUCUAAAAAAAUAGAUUUUAAUUUUAGUUAAAUAUUUUAUCAAUUAGUUUGGUUUAAGUAAUAGUUUAUGUUUUAAAAUUAAUUAGUUUAUAAUUAAGUGAAUUAUUUUAUUUCGUUAAGCUUAAGAAACUCGUUAAUUAAUUAAUAUUAAUUUGUUGUAUUUAAUCUUUAGUCGGAUUCACUAAUUGAGUCAAAUUAGCUAAAUUUUAAAGUUAAGUGGACUAAGUUUGCAAUUCAUUUGGUUAUUUUUCUAAUACAAAUAUAGCCACCUUUUGUCCACUUCUUGGAAUAAUUUUCAAGAGGAAAGUUGACCCAAAGCAAAUUUCCAGCCCAUUCCAUACGUUGCCCAGCCCAACUCCACCUCUUUUCCCAGGCCUAAUUUUUCCCCACAAUACCAAAGAAACUCAUUCCAAAACAUUACCCAUAAACAAACCCGUGUUUCCCAGACAAUACAUACAACAACAACCCACCAACAAUACCAAAUAGCAUACCCGACCCCGACCCCUGUACAACAUUUUCUUCUCCAGUGUUAACUCCAGCAGCUCACAAACGACGCGAACAACGACUCCAAACGACAUCAAUUUUCCGUCAAAGUUCACAAAAAUUACAUGACGUGAACAAGCCAAUGCAGUACACUGCAAUUCGUUGUUGUCUUUUUUUCCCCCUCUCCAGCAGUACGAUCUCAGCAAAAAAAAGCAAAUCGCGUCUCGUCCUUGGGCUGUGAGAUCAUGCCACAAAGCACGCCAAGGACAAUCAAUCGAUCCGAGGCAUCCAUUUCUCCUUUCCUCUUUCGGAUUGGUCUGAAGUUUCAGAAAAAAGUUGCCUCCCAUUAAUGGUGAAAGAAUUUCGAGUUUGAAUUUUGGAAAUGAGCCUCAUCCUAUCCGAAUUCUCACUUUUCCCCUAAAAAGUUUGUAACCCUAAUUUUUGCUUAUAAAUACUCUCUUCCUCUUGUUUGUUAAAGGUUGGAGAAUAUCAGAAAGAUAUAGGAGGGAAAGGCAUAAUAUAACAUUGAUAUAUAAAAAUUCAUCAGAAGGUUCUCUGUGUGGUUUCUUAGUGAUCAGCGUAGAAGUUUUUCGAGUCCAAAUUUCCAUCUCGGGUUCCCUGUGCUCUGUUUGGAAUCUCUCGAAGUCAGUGGAAGUUGCUCUCUAGCUCGUCACUGUCUCCAUUUCGCUGCACCGAAAAAGGUAACAUUUCUUCUCUUGCGGCGUUCUCCUCGUCUUCCCCUCCAUCUCAAUGCGCUGUUGUAUGAUGCUAUAAAAAAUCCUUAUUCUUUGGUUGUUCGCUAUUAGUUGUUGUUGGACUGGUGAUUGUUUUAAUAUGACACUUGCAUUCUUAGCCGUUUUAUGGCAUAGUGUCGAGUUAAAAUUUUGGAGAUUUGUUGGGUUUCUUUGCUGAAGUUGUGUGUGUUAUUUUGUUGUUGUCAACCAUCAUUAAGUUGUUUAUUCAGGUUAAUGCAGUGUUUGUUCUGCGUCAGUUUUCUUUGUUUGAAAUUAGCCUAUAUCUUACCAAGUUUUGCUUGUAUGUCAUUUUGGUUUGAGCCCUGAAGCAUGCUAAAAAAAAAUGAUUUUAAUGCAUAUAUCUAAGUCGUUUCGAUAUAAUGGUCUUGGUUGUUUCACCCUUUCCUUUCUAUUCGUCUUCUCACUAGCUAGAGCAAAUUUUUGGCUUAUCUCAACCCCGUUUGGCUUAAUCGUUGAUGUUUAAAUGGGUUACCGCCUGUGAGUUGAUUCAGUCUGGGUUUCAAAUCUCUUGCUUUAUUUGAAAAGAUUUUAGUCUCGUUAGAAGUGGGUUUAAGGUCAUUUACCUAUUAUUCUUGGUCAUAUUCCUUGCCUUGUUUCUUUAAAUUAAGUAGGUGAUUUUAAUUUUGGUUAGCUUUCUAGGAAGAAUUCUCCAGUAUGUGCCUUUGUUGCAAGCAUGCUUUAAUUACAUCCAAGUAUGGAUUUAUUCUUAGAAUUGUCUUUGUCUGCUUGCUCUCUGUACCGAUCUUUUUAAUGUUAAAAUGAGUUAUUUUCUUUUCGUAGCAGCAUAUGAGAUUUGCCUUUCUUGUGUUACCUUUUAGUUUGAUUUUUCUCAUAGUGAGGAUUAAUAACAUAUAUUAUUUUGGGAAGAUAUUACCUCCAAAUUGGAUUAUUUGUUUUAUCUGCUAGUGGAUUUUUGUUUCCUUUAGGUCUUGCUUGUCUUUAAAUAUUAAAGUUUUAUCAAAUAAUAGUCUUCCAGUAACCCAUUUAUGAUUAGGAAAAGUUUAGUCAAUUGAUUUUGGAUUUAAUAGCUUGGUUUUUUGUUUUAAAUACGUGUAGUAAGGUAUUGAUUUUGGCGGGUCCACUGCUAUGCCAUCAGUGGGGUUUGUUGCUUUAUUGAGUUUUAUCACUGAGUUUCUUUGUUAUGAAUGUGUAUUGAUCCUUUUCUUUUCCUCCUGUCACUGAGUUUCUUUGUUAUGAAUGUGUAUUAAUCCUUUUCUUUUCCUCCUGUCUCAUGUGCUUUCGAGUGAGUUCAUUGAACUCCAUUGCCUUCCUCUCAUUUCAUUCCAAAUGGGCCAUGGAGGCCCAAUUGCAUUUCCUCGAGUCAUAUUUAAACUCAAGCCCCAAUGGACUGCAGCGUACAGGUUCAGGAAAGUUGGUACACAGGAAUGAUGCAGAAAUACGAACCCAAAACACGGUCCGUAUAUGGGGGUAUACGUAAAACGUAUACACAAUUUUUCUUAAGGAGAUAGGCCCAAAAGCCUUGAACAAUUUCAGUAGGUCCAAAGGAGCUAAUGAGCCGACCCAUGUUUGCUUGCAAAGUUAUAGACUUAGGACAGGUGGGCCAAAAGGCCAAUUUAAUUGGGUUUGCGCCAAAAGUCCGAGUCUAAAUAUUUAUUUUCUCUCUAUUAUUAUUUAUAUUGUAUUGUUUGACUAACUUUGUUUAUUUUAUGAUUUAAUUUAAUUAAAUUCCCAAAGAUAUCCAUUUCA